rnacentral:rRNA from 1 species
GAGUUUGACCCUGGUUCAGAUUGAACGCGGGCGCCAGCCUUAAUACAUGCAAGUCGAACGGUAACUGGAGAAAAGCUUGUUUUUCUUGCAGACAAGGGGCGGACGGGUGAGUAAUAUUUGGGAAGCUACCUGAUAGAGGGGGACAAACAGUUGAAACGGACUGCUAAUACCGCAUAUAGCUUGAGGGUGAAAGCAGCAAUGCGCUAUCAGAUGCGCCCAAACGGGAUUAGCUAGUAGGUGAGGUAAAGGCUCACCUAGGCGACGAUCUCUAGCUGGUCUGAGAGGAUGAUCAGCCACAUUGGGACUGAGACACGGCCCAGACUCNUACGGGAGGCAGCAGUAGGGAAUAUUGCACAAUGGGGGAAACCCUGAUGCAGCCACGCCGCGUGUGUGAAGAAGGCCUUCGGGUUGUAAAGCACUUUCGGAGGGGAGGAACAAAUGACGUUACCCUCAGAAGAAGCACCGGCUAACUCCGUGCCAGCAGCCGCGGUAAUACGGAGGGUGCAAGCGUUAAUCGGAAUAACUGGGCGUAAAGGGCAUGCAGGCGGUUAAACAAGUAGGAUGUGAAAUCCCCGGGCUCAACCUGGGAACUGCAUUCUAAACUGUUUAACUAGAGUAUUGCAGGGGGAGACGGAAUUCCAGGUGUAGCGGUGGAAUGCGUAGAUAUCUGGAAGAACACCAAGGGCGAAGGCAGUCUCCUGGGCAAAUACUGACGCUCAGAUGCGAAAGCGUGGGUAGCAAACAGGAUUAGAUACCCUGGUAGUCCACGCCGUAAACGAUGUCAAUUAGGAGCUUGUGCUUAAGUAUGGUUCCGCAGCUAACGCAAUAAAU